CGGGGCGGCGGCGCCCCUGAGCGGGUUAGCUGGCCCAGAGAGGGGUCCCGGGGGGUCCCGGGCGGCGGGCGGUCGGCGCUCCCGCGCGCCUCUCGAAUCACGCACGUCCGGCCGGAGCGUCCAAUGGGAAGGCGGUGUCUGGCCACGCCCACCGCGCGCGCCCCCUCCGCGGUGGGCUUUUAAAGGCAGCCGGGCGGCGCGGGGGCUCCCAGGACCUGCGCGCCGCCUCACCUGCCGUCCCGCCUCGCCGCCGCCGCCAUGCUCUCCGUCCGCGUCCCGCUCGCCACCAUCGUGGACCCCCAGCAGCAGCAGCAGCUCCAGCUCUCGCCCCUCAAGGGGCUCAGCCUGGCGGACAAGGAGAACACGCCCCCGAGUCUCAGCGGGACCCGCGUGCUGGCCAGCAAGACCGCCAGGAGGAUCUUCCAGGAACCCGCCGAGCCGCAGAAAACUAAGGUACUUGGCCCCAACGUGGAGGACGAGCCACUACUGCGAGAAAACCCUCGUCGCUUUGUCAUCUUCCCUAUUGAGUACCAUGAUAUUUGGCAGAUGUAUAAGAAAGCUGAGGCUUCCUUUUGGACCGCCGAAGAGGUGGAUCUCUCCAAGGACAUUCAGCACUGGGAGUCCCUGAAGCCUGAGGAGAGAUACUUUAUAUCCCAUGUUCUGGCUUUCUUUGCCGCCAGCGAUGGCAUAGUCAAUGAAAACUUGGUGGAGCGCUUUAGCCAAGAAGUUCAGAUCACAGAAGCCCGCUGUUUCUAUGGCUUCCAAAUUGCCAUGGAAAACAUCCAUUCGGAGAUGUACAGUCUCCUCAUUGACACUUACAUUAAAGAUUCCAAAGAAAGGGAAUUUCUCUUCAACGCCAUCGAGACAAUGCCUUGUGUAAAGAAGAAGGCAGAUUGGGCCUUGCGUUGGAUUGGGGACAAAGAGGCCACCUAUGGAGAACGGGUUGUGGCCUUCGCUGCCGUGGAAGGAAUCUUCUUUUCUGGUUCUUUUGCGUCGAUAUUCUGGCUCAAGAAACGCGGCCUGAUGCCUGGCCUCACAUUUUCCAAUGAACUUAUCAGCAGAGAUGAGGGUUUACACUGUGACUUUGCCUGCCUGAUGUUCAAACACCUGGUCCAUAAACCUUCCGAGCAGAGAGUGAGGGAAAUAAUCAUCAAUGCCGUUCGGAUAGAGCAGGAGUUCCUCACGGAGGCGCUGCCUGUGAAGCUCAUUGGGAUGAAUUGCACGUUGAUGAAGCAGUACAUCGAGUUCGUGGCAGACCGGCUUAUGCUGGAGCUGGGUUUUGGCAAGGUGCCAGGGAGACAAUGAAGCACAAAGCCCAUGAAGCCCAGGCCCUCGUGGAGAUUGUGCACGGAUGGGGGACAUUGGAAACGCGCCAGCUAACUGGUGUGCGUAUUUAACAAAUGUUUUGGAGGAGAGACCGUGAAAUCACUGUGCAGCUGCUAACGUUGGCUGGUGCUGACUUCCAGACGAGGGAGAGAGCGAGCGAGAGGAGGGGCAGGAAACCGAGCGAGCCGAGAGACGGGUGCGGAAGGAAGGCUGAGGGCAUUCAUUCAUUAAUCCACUCUUCUUACAAAGAAAACUGCGUCCAAGAAACUGUUCAUUACAAAACUCUGGAAUGUAUUGACUAUGUGCUUUUUAAAAGCUUUUUUACGAUGGGGAAUUUCAAACACACACAAAUGGAACAGAAGGAGCCCAGCGUACCACGUGCUUUCCAGCCGUGAUCAGUGCGCGAGCAGCUCUGUCUCACGUCUGUCCGCGCGCAUCGCUCCUCGGCCUUUCCUCUCUCGGCCCGGAUGAUCGCGGAAUCCCAGCCCAUCCUGUCGGAUGUCCCAGCCGAUCCUGUCGCAUGUCCGCGGAGCUGUGUUCUCGAGCACGCUGCACGCAUUCUGGAAAAUGCCCUUAAAUCUUGGCGAUGAAGAAUGCCUGCAAAUACACAUUUUUCACACCCCGAAUCUCCCCUGCCCUGCUUUUCAGCCUCCCUUCUCUGCCCUUUUGUCUCCUCCCUCACCCCACCGCCUCCCCGCUCGGUCCUCCGCGGCCCCCCUGACCUGCGGAUUCCACCCUGACCGCGGCGGCACCUGCUGGAGGUGGGCAAUCCGGGCGGCGCUGAGCUGACUUUCCCCAACUGAACCCCCUCUCUCCGAGUUUCCGCCAGCUGGAGCAGCGGGGGGCUGGACAGAGCAAGUUCAGCAUUUACACAGUCAGGUCCGGAAGAGUGAGCCUCACCUGGCAGAAGUCUUCAGACUCUUUAGAAAGUUCCACCGGUUCUGAAUCACUGUAGAAAUAUAAGUUACUAGGAUUAAUGACUGUGCUUGACUGACUUGCCUUUGGUGUAUGGACUCGGGGCUGUGCGUUCUAGGACGGGUCAUUUCGCCCCCCAGAGAAUCCAUUACCUCUUCUGUAAAGUGGGAAGGUU